rnacentral:rRNA from 1 species
CAGUCGCCGCGGGAAUACGUAGGUGGCAAGCGUUGUCCGGAAUUAUUGGGCGUAAAGGACUCGCAGGCGGUUUCUUAAGUCUGAUGUGAAAGCCCCCGGCUCAACCGGGGAGGGUCAUUGGAAACUGGGAAACUUGAGUGCAGAAGAGGAGAGUGGAAUUCCACGUGUAGCGGUGAAAUGCGUAGAGAUGUGGAGGAACACCAGUGGCGAAGGCGACUCUCUGGUCUGUAACUGACGCUGAGGAGCGAAAGCGUGGGGAGCGAACAGGAUUAGAUACCCCAGUAGUCCCUGUCUCUUAUAC